rnacentral:rRNA from 1 species
CGUAGGGCGCGAGCGUUGUCCGGAAUUAUUGGGCGUAAAGAGCUCGUAGGCGGCUUGUCGCGUCUGCUGUGAAACGCGGGGCUUAACUCCGCGCUUGCAGUGGGUACGGGCAGGCUUGAGUGUAGUAGGGGAGACUGGAAUUCCUGGUGUAGCGGUGGAAUGCGCAGAUAUCAGGAGGAACACCGAUGGCGAAGGCAGGUCUCUGGGCUAUAACUGACGCUGAGGAGCGAAAGCAUGGGGAGCGAACAGGAUU